CCUGGAGGUGGCUGCAGCCCAUGGAAAGCCCCCACAGGGGCAGGCCAAGGCCGGAACUGCAGCCUGUGGAGAGGAGCCCAUGCAGGAGCAGAGGGUCUGGGAGGAGCUGCCGCUGGUGGGGGACCCAUGCUGGAGCAGUUUGCUCCUGACAGAUG